GAAGGUAAUUGUUAUCUUGAGACUGUUUUUCACUUAGUCUUUAACACAGACUGAAUGGCCAGAUUCAUUCUCACUACUAAAAUCCCAUCACAUCAUUUACACUAGCAGGUUCUUGCUGUAAACUUAUAGCAGGGAGCUGAACAGGAUGCAAAGACAACAUCGAAGAUUAAACUAUGCAGCUCGAGAAAUGUGGAAUCCCUGUUUGCUUAGUUUUUUUGGUUCUUAGAAUAACUUUCUUUUGGAUGGGCUGUGUAGGAUAUCUGGAGGAUCAGCUGAACACACCAGCCCUAUCACGCAGAGGUGCUGAACUGAGGGCUGAAGGUUCCAGGAUUUGCAGUUCAAACUGAAGAUCAGCUCCCAAGCUCUGCAAAAAUGAGAAGCAGAAACCCUGGUUGAAGUCAGCAUUGUCAGAGUUUUAUAAAUCCUGCUGCAGGGCUCCAGCUGGGCUGAACUCCAAGAGUGUUUAUUUGGAUAAUAACCAACAUAAAAUAAAAAUGAAGCUCU